ensembl:snRNA U1 U1 spliceosomal RNA
ACCCUUUCCUGACAGAGGAGACACCAUGAUCACGAAGGUGGUUUUCCCAGGGUGAGGCUCAUCCAUUGCACACUGGAUGUGCUGACCCCUGCGAUUUCCCCAAAUGCGGGAAACUCAACUGCAUUAUUUCCCACAAAAUCCUGUGGUAGGAUCUUACCACAGU